GACGAACGCUGGCGGCGUGGAUUAGGCAUGCAAGUCGAACGGUAUCAUCCUUUCGGGGGUGAGAGAGUGGCGAACUGGUGAGUAACACGUAGGUUAUCUACCCUCAAGACGGGGACAACCCAGGGAAACUUGGGCUAAUACCGGAUGUGAGCAACUUUUAGUUGUUUGAAAGGUGGCGUAAGCUGUCGCUUGGGGAUGAGCCUGCGUCCUAUUAGUUAGUUGGUGAGGUAACGGCUCACCUAGGCAAUGAUAGGUAGGCGGCCUUAACGGGUGGUCGCCCACACUGGGAUUGAGAUACGGCCCAGACUCCUACGGGAGGCAGCAGUCGAGAAUAGUCUACAAUGGUCGGAAGACUGAUAGUGCGACGCCGCGUGAACGAUGAAUCCCUUCGGGUGUAAAGUUCUUUUAUAUGUGAGCAAUGCUUUUUAUGUGAAUAGCAUGAGAAGAGAGAUAUUAGCAUAUGAAUAAGCAACGGCUAACUCCGUGCCAGCAGCCGCGGUAA
rnacentral:rRNA from 1 species